rnacentral:rRNA from 1 species
GAUGAACGCUAGCGACAGGCUUAACACAUGCAAGUCGAGGGGCAGCACAGGUAGCAAUACCGGGUGGCGACCGGCGCACGGGUGAGUAACGCGUAUGCAACUUACCUAUCAGAGGGGGAUAACCCGGCGAAAGUCGGACUAAUACCGCAUGAAGCAGGGGUCCCGCAUGGGGAUAUUUGCUAAAGAUUCAUCGCUGAUAGAUAGGCAUGCGUUCCAUUAGGCAGUUGGCGGGGUAACGGCCCACCAAACCGACGAUGGAUAGGGGUUCUGAGAGGAAGGUCCCCCACAUUGGUACUGAGACACGGACCAAACUCCUACGGGAGGCAGCAGUGAGGAAUAUUGGUCAAUGGGCGUAAGCCUGAACCAGCCAAGUCGCGUGAGGGAUGAAGGUUCUAUGGAUCGUAAACCUCUUUUAUAAGGGAAUAAAGUGCGGGACGUGUCCCGUUUUGUAUGUACCUUAUGAAUAAGGAUCGGCUAACUCCGUGCCAGCAGCCGCGGUAAUACGGAGGAUUCGAGCGUUAUCCGGAUUUAUUGGGUUUAAAGGGUGCGUAGGCGGCCUUUUAAGUCAGCGGUGAAAGUCUGUGGCUCAACCAUAGAAUUGCCGUUGAAACUGGGGGGCUUGAGUAUGUUUGAGGCAGGCGGAAUGCGUGGUGUAGCGGUGAAAUGCUUAGAUAUCACGCAGAACCCCGAUUGCGAAGGCAGCCUGCCAAGCCAUGACUGACGCUGAUGCACGAAAGCGUGGGGAUCAAACAGGAUUAGAUACCCUGGUAGUCCCACAGUAAACGAUGAAUACUCGCUGUUUGCGAUAUACAGUAAGCGGCCAAGCGAAAGCAUUAAGUAUCCNNACUGGGGAGUAGCCNNGCNACNGUGAAACUCAAAGGAAUUGACGGGGGCCCGCCCAAGGGGGGGAACAUGUGGUGUAAUUCGAUGAUACGCGAGGAACCUUACCCCGGCCUAAACUGCCACCGAAUAUAGGGUUUCCCCCCCCCCCCCCCCCCCUUGUGAAGGUGCUGCAUGGUUGUCGUCAGCUCGUGCCGUGAGGUGUCGGCUUAAGUGCCAUAACGAGCGCAACCCCUAUCUUUAGUUACUAACAGGUUAUGCUGAGGACUCUAGAGAGACUGCCGUCGUAAGAUGUGAGGAAGGUGGGGAUGACGUCAAAUCAGCACGGCCCUUACGUCCGGGGCUACACACGUGUUACAAUGGGGCGCACAGAAGGCCGCUACCUGGUGACAGGAUGCUAAUCCCAAAAACCUCUCUCAGUUCGGAUCGAAGUCUGCAACCCGACUUCGUGAAGCUGGAUUCGCUAGUAAUCGCGCAUCAGCCAUGGCGCGGUGAAUACGUUCCCGGGCCU